AUCCUUUAAGAAUGGUUAAAUCAGCCGAAUUUUCCUUUGCUUUUAGCAAACCCCAAAUCGUCCCGUAACUGUUGAUUUUUCUUUGCAGGCUUUGCAGUCUUUGAAGAACCAUUUCAGCCUUGAUCUUCCUUUAACUUCGAUUCCAACGAAGCAAAGAGAAGAUCCUUGGCCUACUCGCACGGAACGGCCGUAUGGAGGAGCAGGGAAAGGUGUGCGUGAAAGAGGCCGUGCGAGGAAACCGUUCGUGGGAGCCUAAACCCUUGGCACUGUUCUGGCACGUUCCAGAAGAUUCUAGUGCUCUCAAGCUGCUGAGAUAAUUUUUGAGUGUAUUGGGCCUCGGGUUUUAGGGCUUAUUUAAUUGGGUCAUGGGUUACUUUAGUAAUUGGGUUGGGUUAUUGGACUUUUAUUGUAUUGUUUUUUUAUUUUUCAUUUUAGUUUUGGGUUUUGAAAUGGACUUUGGCCCUAUAAACAAUUUGGUCUUUCAUUUAUUUUUGUUUGGUUUUAUAAAUAUAUUUUAUUUUUGGUUUUUUGUUUUUUAGGGCCCGAGCAAAAUGGGCCUAUUACAAACCUAUUAUGGUUCUAUGAGGUGUGCAUGGUGGACGGGCUUACCAUAGCCCUUAUAUGGUAUGCUGGAUGGACGAAGUGGUGUUUGGUUGACGGGAUGGGAUCUUGACUUGUGCAUCUGUUCGCAUUUGAAUAUGUCUAUUUGUCUGAACAUUUUGUUUAUUUGUGUGAACUUUUGGUUAUUGACAAUAUAGUUGAUGUCAUGUAAAA